rnacentral:rRNA from 1 species
GAUGAGCGCUGGCGGCGCGCCUAACACAUGCAAGUCGAACGAUUAAAGCACCUUCGGGUGUGUAUAAAGUGGCGAACGGCUGAGUAACACGUGGGCAACCUGCCCCUUUCAUUGGGAUAGCCACGGGAAACCGUGGAUAAUACCGAAUACUUCGAGACUUCCGCAUGGAAGACUCGAGAAAGCUCCGGCGGAGAGGGAUGGGCCCGCGGCCUGUUAGCUUGUUGGUGGGGUAACGGCCUACCAAGGCAAUGAUGGGUAGCUGGGUUGAGAGACCGACCAGCCAGAUUGGGACUGAGACACGGCCCAGACUCCUACGGGAGGCAGCAGUGGGGAAUCUUGCACAAUGGGCGAAAGCCUGAUGCAGCGACGCCGCGUGCCGGAUGAAGGCCUUCGGGUUGUAAACCGCUUUCAGCAGGGACGAGGCGAAAGUGACGGUACCUGCAGAAGAAGCCCCGGCUAACUACGUG